rnacentral:rRNA from 1 species
UACGUAGGGUGCAAGCGUUAAUCGGAAUUACUGGGCGUAAAGCGUGCGCAGGCGGCUUUGCAAGUCAGAUGUGAAAUCCCCGGGCUUAACCUGGGAACUGCAUUUGAGACUGCAUGGCUGGAGUGCGGCAGAGGGGGAUGGAAUUCCGCGUGUAGCAGUGAAAUGCGUAGAUAUGCGGAGGAACACCGAUGGCGAAGGCAAUCCCCUGGGCCUGAACUGACGCUCAUGCACGAAAGCGUGGGGAGCAAACAGG